UGAGGUAAACUGUUUUAUUUAAAGUACGUGGAUCAUCUAUAGUUUUAAUGGUGUACGUCGCGAUAUCAUCCUCGUCCAAGAAAAUUGCUGCAACCAAAAACAACAGAAAUUUAAAAAAUAAAGAAAAAAGAGGAAGAAGAACAGAAUUGG